ensembl:lincRNA Gm44202 predicted gene, 44202
AACUCUUCAGUUAAUCACUGAGCCAUCUCACCAGGCCUCUUGCUUCUUGUUCUCAUUUCUCACCUUGAUAGCCCUGUUAGAAGAUACUUUUCCUGCCUCGGUCAAAAAAGAGGAAGUCAGUUGGCAAAUGCUCUUUGGAAAUGUAGUUUGCAAAGGAGAGAAGCCGUGGGGCUUAGAAGGCGAACAUGAAUCCUGCCAGCAGCACUCAGUGCUAGGAACCAGGGUGGGAAGAUCGAAUCGCAACAUCACACAUGGGCACCCUACGCUUGAGCCAUGCCAAUUGUGAUAGUCCAGUAUGUUGAGGACUCCAGAGAGCCGGAUGGUCUAGCAGGAUGCUGGGGAGAGCAUCCGCACCUGCCUGCUGGGGAGUGCUGCCUGAGAGCCAGUAUGCUGCUAACAGCCUUCAGAUGAAGAUGCAGAACUCUCAGCUCCUGCACCAUGCCUGCCUGGAUGCUGCCAUGUUCCCGCCUUGAUGAUAAUGGACUGAACCUCUGAACCUGUAAGCCAGCCCCAAUUAAAUGUCCUUAUAAGA